UUUCGUCUUCUUUUGGAGAGCGAGGUCAUUUUUUCCUAUAUAAAACCCGCUUGGUCAUUACUUGUCAUUCAAAUCAAAAAAUCUUAGCUGUUCUUCUCAAACUAACCAGUCAUUCAUUUAUUGCCACCAUGAAAGUUUUGGCUUUUGGAUUAAUUUCUCUGCUGUUGAUUGCUUCUGUGGCCGCAAGUGGUUAUUAUGGAGGACAUUAUGAAGAGCCAAAAAUUAUCAAGAUUAUAAAACCCGUCCACGUUGUUAAAGUUGUAAAGCAUAUACCACCCCCUGUACCUGUCAUUAAAUACAUCAAGCUUUAUCACAGCACUCACGUAGGGCAUCCAAUAAGUCACCAUCAUGGAUAUCAUGGUGGCUAUCAUGGCUGGUAAAGAAUAGAGAAAAUGAAACACAUGUAUUAUUUCAUCGUUUUUAUCCUUAUUUUGAAGAAUAAUCGUCGAUGAAACAAUCCAAAUCAAAUUUGGUGCCAUUUUUAUUUCUACAAUCAAAUUUGUCAUCUGUAAAUUGUCGAAUGUAGAUAGAAAGUAAAAUACUGUUUGAAACUAUGAUUCAGUACAAAAACUGUAAAGACAAGCUGUAAAAUAUGUAAAAUAAAUAAUUUAUCAUAA